GUAUUGGUGGUUCAAUGGUAGAAUGCUCGCCUGCCACGCACACGACUCAGGUUCGAUUCCGGGCCAAUGUG